rnacentral:rRNA from 1 species
GCAUAUCAAUAAGCGGAGGAAAAGAAACCAACAGGGAUUGCCUCAGUAACGGCGAGUGAAGCGGCAACAGCUCAAAUUUGAAAUCUGGCCUCUUUGGGGUCCGAGUUGUAAUUUGUAGAGGAUGUUUCGGGUACCGCCCCGGUCUAAAUUUCUUGGAACAGAAUGUCAGAGAGGGUGAGAAUCCCGUCUUGGACCGGCGGUAGGGCCCAUGUGAAACUCCUUCGACGAGUCGAGUUGUUUGGGAAUGCAGCUCAAAAUGGGUGGUAUAUUUCAUCUAAAGCUAAAUAUUGGCCAGAGACCGAUAGCGCACAAGUAGAGUGAUCGAAAGAUGAAAAGAACUUUGAAAAGAGAGUUAAACAGUAUGUGAAAUUGUUGAAAGGGAAGCGCUUGCAACCAGACUUGAGCGCGGCGGUUCCCCCUUCCUUUUGGUUGGGUUACUCCGUCGUGUCCAGGCCAACAUCGGUUCUGGGGGUCGGUUAAAGGCCUGGGGAAUGUAUCUACGUCUUCGGGCGUAGACUUAUAGCCCCGGGUGUCAUGCGACCUCCCGGGACCGAGGAACGCGCUUCGGCUCGGAUGUUGGCGUAAUGGUUGUAAGCGACCCGUCUUGAAACACGGACC